rnacentral:rRNA from 1 species
AAUGGGCGCAAGCCUGAUGCAGCCAUGCCGCGUGUAUGAAGAAGGCCUUCGGGUUGUAAAGUACUUUCAGCAGUGAGGAAGGUUUCGUAGUUAAUAACUGCGUUGCUUGACGUUAGCUGCAGAAGAAGCACCGGCUAACUCCGUGCCAGCAGCCGCGGUAAUACGGAGGGUGCGAGCGUUAAUCGGAAUUACUGGGCGUAAAGCGCAUGCAGGUGGUUCGUUAAGUCAGAUGUGAAAGCCCGGGGCUCAACCUCGGAAUUGCAUUUGAAACUGGCGGACUAGAGUACUGUAGAGGGGGGUAGAAUUUCAGGUGUAGCGGUGAAAUGCGUAGAGAUCUGAAGGAAUACCAGUGGCGAAGGCGGCCCCCUGGACAGAUACUGACACUCAGAUGCGAAAGCGUGGGGAGCAAACAGGAUU